CACCCGAGACUCAGUGAAAUUGAACUCGCUGUGAAGAUGCAGUGUACCCGCGGCAAGACGGAAAGACCCCGUGAACCUUUACUAUAGCUUGACACUGAACAUUGAGCCUUGAUGUGUAGGAUAGGUGGGAGGCUUUGAAGUGUGGACGCCAGUCUGCAUGGAGCCGGCCUUGAAAUACCACCCUUUAAUGUUUGAUGUUCUAACGUGGACCCGUGAUCCGGGUUGCGGACAGUGUCUGGUGGGUAGUUUGACUGGGGCGGUCUCCUCCUAAAGAGUAACGGAGGAGCACGAAGGUUGGCUAAUCCUGGUCGGACAUCAGGAGGUUAGUGCAAUGGCAUAAGCCAGCUUGACUGCGAGCGUGACGGCGCGAGCAGGUGCGAAAGCAGGUCAUAGUGAUCCGGUGGUUCUGAAUGGAAGGGCCAUCGCUCAACGGAUAAAAGGUACUCCGGGGAUAACAGGCUGAUACCGCCCAAGAGUUCAUAUCGACGGCGGUGUUUGGCACCUCGAUGUCGGCUCAUCACAUCCUGGGGCUGAAGUAGGUCCCAAGGGUAUGGCUGUUCGCCAUUUAAAGUGGUACGCGAGCUGGGUUUAGAACGUCGUGAGACAGUUCGGUCCCUAUCUGCCGUGGGCGCUGGAGAACUGAGGGGGGCUGCUCCUAGUACGAGAGGACCGGAGUGGACGCAUCACUGGUGUUCGGGUUGUCAUGCCAAUGGCACUGCCCGGUAGCUAAAUGCGGAAGAGAUAAGUGCUGAAAGCAUCUAAGCACGAAACUUGCCCCGA
rnacentral:rRNA from 1 species